rnacentral:misc_RNA from 1 species
GAGGUGUUUGGAUGUGGGGGUUUGCUGGCCUCUUAAAAAGGUUCAGCUCCUCUGAAAUGCAUUAGCAGAACAACCCGUUCAUUGGCGUGAUAACUAUCUACGCUAUUGAAUGUGAUGGGGCAGUUCAGCUUUCUAACAGUCUUUGGACAAUUCAUCAUUAAUGUGACCUCAAAUCAGGUAGGACUACCCGCUGAACUUAA